rnacentral:rRNA from 1 species
UGAAUACGAGACGCUAAGGCGUCGAAGUAGUGUAUGUCAUACUUCCAAGAAAAGCUUGCACUGUCAUAGAUAAAAAACGCCUGUACCAUAACCGACACAGGUGGGUAGGUAGAGUAUACUAAGGGGCGCGAGAUAACUCUCUCUAAGGAACUCGGCAAAAUAACUCCGUAACUUCGGGAGAAGGAGUGCCUUAUUCGUAAGGUUGCAAUAACAAGAUCCAAGCAACUGUUUAUCAAAAACACAGGUCUCCGCUAAGUCGUAAGACGAUGUAUGGGGGCUGACGCCUGCCCAGUGCCAGAAGGUUAAAGAAGUUGGUUAGCAAUUGCGAAGCUGAUAACUGAAGCCCUGGUGAACGGCGGCCGUAACAAUAACGGUCCUAAGGUAGCGAAAUUCCUUGUCGGGUAAGUUCCGACCCGCACGAAAGGCGUAAUGAUUUGGAUACUGUCUCGGAGAGGGGCUCGGUGAAAUAGACUUGUCUGUGAAGAUGCGGACUACCUGCACCAGGACAGAAAGACCCUAUGAAGCUUUACUGUAACUUGAAAUUGAAAUUGGACUUUAUUCGCGCAGUAUAGGUGGGAGGCGUUGAUUAUAAUCUUGUGGGAUUAUUGGAGCCAUCAGUGAGAUACCACUCUUGUAAUGUUAGAUUUCUAACUUUGAAUCAUUAUCUGGUCAAAGAACAGUUUCAGGCGGGCAGUUUGACUGGGGCGGUCGCCUCCUAAACGGUAACGGAGGCGUACAAAGGUUUCCUCUGAACGGUUAGAAAUCGUAUCUAGAGUGUAAAGGCAUAAGGAAGCUUGACUGUGAGACCUACAAGUCGAGCAGGGACGAAAGUCGGUCUUAGUGAUCUGACGGUACUGAGUGGAAAGGCCGUCACUCAACGGAUAAAAGUUACUCUAAGGAUAACAGGCUGAUCUCCCCCAAGAGUUCACAUCGACGGGGAGGUUUGGCACCUCGAUGUCGGCUCAUCGCAUCCUGGGGCGGUAGUACGUCCCAAGGGUUGGGCUGUUCGCCCAUGAAAGCGGUACGCGAGCUGGGUUCAGAACGUCGUGAGACAGUUCGGUCCAUAUCCGGUGUAGGCGUUAGAAUAUUGAGAGGAGCCUUCUUUAGUACGAGAGGACCGAGAAGGACAUACCUCUGGUGUACCAGUUAUCGUGCCAACGGUAAACGCUGGGUAGCUAUGUAUGGAGUGGAUAACCGCUGAAAGCAUCUAAGUGGGAAGCCCACCUCAAGAUAAGUAUUCUCAUC